UUUUGAUUUGCAGCAUUAACAGUCCAGGUUUGCUGUACGAUGUGGAGGAGCCUCCAUAUGUAGAGGAGGACCAGUUCAGUUUCACUGACGUCGACCUGCUGCCUCCUCCUGAGCUCUACGCCGACUCCUCCUGAACUUAACCGUU